UACGAAGGGGGCUAGCGUUGCUCGGAAUCACUGGGCGUAAAGCGCACGUAGGCGGCUUCUUAAGUCAGGGGUGAAAUCCUGGGGCUCAACCCCAGAACUGCCCUUGAUACUGAGGAGCUUGAGUCCGGGAGAGGUGAGUGGAACUCCGAGUGUAGAGGUGAAAUUCGUAGAUAUUCGGAAGAACACCAGUGGCGAAGGCGGCUCACUGGCCCGGUACUGACGCUGAGGUGCGAAAGCGUGGGGAGCAAACAGG
rnacentral:rRNA from 1 species